rnacentral:rRNA from 1 species
CACGAAGGGGGCUAGCGUUGCUCGGAAUCACUGGGCGUAAAGGGUGCGUAGGCGGGUCUUUAAGUCAGGGGUGAAAUCCUGGAGCUCAACUCCAGAACUGCCUUUGAUACUGAAGAUCUUGAGUUCGGGAGAGGUGAGUGGAACUGCGAGUGUAGAGGUGAAAUUCGUAGAUAUUCGCAAGAACACCAGUGGCGAAGGCGGCUCACUGGCCCGAUACUGACGCUGAGGCACGAAAGCGUGGGGAGCAAACAGG